GAUGAACGCUGGCGGCGUGCCUAACACAUGCAAGUCGAACGGUGAAGCUCCAGCUUGCUGGAGUGGAUCAGUGGCGAACGGGUGAGUAACACGUGAGCAACCUGCCCCUGACUCUGGAAUAAGCGCUGGAAACGGCGUCUAAUACUGGAUACGAGAAGGGUCCGCAUGGGCACUUUCUGGAAAGUUUUUCGGUUGGGGAUGGGCUCGCGGCCUAUCAGCUUGUUGGUGAGGUAAUGGCUCACCAAGGCGACGACGGGUAGCCGGCCUGAGAGGGCGACCGGCCACACUGGGACUGAGACACGGCCCAGACUCCUACGGGAGGCAGCAGUGGGGAAUAUUGCACAAUGGGCGAAAGCCUGAUGCAGCGACGCCGCGUGAGGGAUGACGGCCUUCGGGUUGUAAACCUCUUUCAGCAGGGAAGAAGCGAAAGUGACGGUACCUGCAGAAGAAGCACCGGCUAACUACGUG
rnacentral:rRNA from 1 species